UCAGAGUGAUUUUUCCAUGAAUUGCUCUGCUAAAAGGCGGUUGCUUAUAUUUAGAACCCUCCUCCUCCGGUCUCCACAGCCUGAAACGAUUCUUCUUCCGUUUCUCCAAAUAAUUUGAUUACUCACUCCACCGUACUUAUUAGGAUGAGAUGUGUGUCACGAUACUUCAUAAGUUCAUACUUUUUUAUUUUUUCACAUAAAUAAAUAAAGUUGAUACGAUUAAGCAAUU
rnacentral:lncRNA from 1 species